rnacentral:tRNA from 1 species
AAUAGUUUAUAGAAAACAUUGGUCUUGUAAACCAAAGACUGAAGAAUACACCUCUU